rnacentral:rRNA from 1 species
AGAGUUUGAUCAUGGCUCAGGAUGAACGCUGGCGGCGUGCCUAACACAUGCAAGUCGAACGAAGCGUAUGGAACUUUUCUUACGGGAGAAGGGAAGUGUGACUGAGUGGCGGACGGGUGAGUAACGCGUGGGCAACCUACCUCUAUCAGGGGGAUAACAGUUAGAAAUGACCGCUAAUACCGCGUAAGACCACGGUGCCGCAUGGCACAGGGGCCAAAGCCGAGGCGGAUAGAGAUGGACCCGCGUCUGAUUAGCUAGUUGGCAGGGUAAGGGCCUACCAAGGCGACGAUCAGUAGCCGACCUGAGAGGGUGACCGGCCACAUUGGGACUGAGACACGGCCCAAACUCCUACGGGAGGCAGCAGUGGGGAAUAUUGCGCAAUGGGGGAAACCCUGACGCAGCGACGCCGCGUGAGUGAGGAAGUAUUUCGGUAUGUAAAGCUCUAUCAGCAGGGAAGAAAAUGACGGUACCUGAGAAAGAAGCCCCGGCUAACUACGUGCCAGCAGCCGCGGUAAUACGUAGGGGGCAAGCGUUAUCCGGAUUUACUGGGUGUAAAGGGAGCGUAGGCGGCAUGGCAAGCCAGAAGUGAAAGCCCGGGGCUCAACCGCGGGACCGCUUUUGGAACUGCCAGGCUAGAUUGCGGGAGAGGUAAGUGGAAUUCCUAGUGUAGCGGUGAAAUGCGUAGAUAUUAGGAGGAACACCAGUGGCGAAGGCGGCUUACUGGACCGUAAAUGACGCUGAGGCUCGAAAGCGUGGGGAGCAAACAGGAUUAGAUACCCUGGUAGUCCACGCCGUAAACG